rnacentral:tRNA from 1 species
GCUAUUUUGGCAGAUUAUAUGCACUAGAUUUAGGAUCUAGGAAAAUAGAGUUAAAUGUCUAUAAAUAGUA